GAUGAACGCUAGCUACAGGCUUAACACAUGCAAGUCGAGGGACCGGCGCACGGGUGAGUAACACGUAUCCAACCUGCCCUUUACUCUGGGAUAGCCUUUCGAAAGCAAGAUCUAUACCCGAUAUACAGGAUGGGGAUGCGUUCCAUUAGGUUGUUGGUGAGGUAACGGCUCACCAAGCCUUCGAUGGAUAGGGGUUCGGAGAGGAAGGGCCCCCGCAUAGGAACUGAGACACGGUCGAAACUGCUACGGGAGGCAGCAGUGAGGAAGAUUGGUUAAUGGACGCGAGCCUGAACCAUCCAAGUAGCGUGAAGGAUGAAGGAUUAUGGGGCGUAAACAUCUUUGAUAGAAGAAUGGGUAUGAGAUGAAUAAGGAUCGGCUAACUCCGUGCCAGCAGCCGCGGUAAUUC
rnacentral:rRNA from 1 species